UGUCGUCCCAGCUUGGUGUUCAGGGAAAACAGGACUCAGUCUUGGAAGGAGAAAUUGCCACAAUGGGAAGACGAUGAGUCAGAGAACACGGCCGAGUGGUAGCAGCCCAGCACUCCCCACCCAAAAGUGAGGGGCCCAGAUUAUUUAAUAUGAACACACUGGAACUGAUGAUAGAGGCUCAAAAUAGAGAAGCUGGAGACAAGGCCAG